AUUGAACGCUGGCGGCAUGCCUUACACAUGCAAGUCGAACGGUAACAGGUCUUCGGAUGCUGACGAGUGGCGAACGGGUGAGUAAUACAUCGGAACGUGCCUAGUAGUGGGGGAUAACUACUCGAAAGAGUGGCUAAUACCGCAUGAGAUCUACGGAUGAAAGCAGGGGAUCGCAAGACCUUGUGCUACUAGAGCGGACGAUGGCAGAUUAGGUAGUUGGUGGGAUAAAAGCUUACCAAGCCAACGAUCUGUAGCUGGUCUGAGAGGACGAUCAGCCACACUGGGACUGAGACACGGCCCAGACUCCUACGGGAGGCAGCAGUGGGGAAUUUUGGACAAUGGGCGCAAGCCUGAUCCAGCAAUGCCGCGUGCAGGAUGAAGGCCUUCGGGUUGUAAACUGCUUUUGUACGGAACGAAAAGCCCCGGGUAAAUACCCUGGGGUCAUGACGGUACCGUAAGAAUAAGCACCGGCUAACUACGUGCCAGCCGCCGCGGUAA
rnacentral:rRNA from 1 species